rnacentral:rRNA from 1 species
UACGAAGGGGGCAAGCGUUGUUCGGAAUUACUGGGCGUAAAGGGCGCGUAGGCGGCUUAUCAAGUCAGGCGUGAAAUUCCCGGGCUCAACCUGGGGGCUGCGCUUGAUACUGAUUGGCUUGAAUGCGGGAGAGGAUAGUGGAAUUCCCAGUGUAGAGGUGAAAUUCGUAGAUAUUGGGAAGAACACCAGUGGCGAAGGUGGCUCACUGGACCGGUAUUGACGCUGAGGUGCGAAAGCGUGGGGAGCAAACAGG